GAUGAACGCUGGCGGCGUGCCUAAUACAUGCAAGUCGAGCGAAUGGAUUAAGAGCUUGCUCUUAUGAAGUUAGCGGCGGACGGGUGAGUAACACGUGGGUAACCUGCCCAUAAGACUGGGAUAACUCCGGGAAACCGGGGCUAAUACCGGAUAACAUUUUGAACCGCAUGGUUCGAAAUUGAAAGGCGGCUCCGGCUGUCACUUAUGGAUGGACCCGCGUCGCAUUAGCUAGUUGGUGAGGUAACGGCUCACCAAGGCAACGAUGCGUAGCCGACCUGAGAGGGUGAUCGGCGGCACUGGGACUGCGACACGGCCCAGACUCCUACGGGAGGCAGCAGUAGGGAAUCUUCCGCAAUGGACGAAAGUCUGACGGAGCAACGCCGCGUGAGUGAUGAAGGCUUUCGGGUCGUAAAACUCUGUUGUUAGGGAAGAACAAGUGCUAGUUGAAUAAGCUGGCACCUUGACGGUACCUAACCAGAAAGCCACGGCUAACUACGUGCCAGCCGCCGCCGUAA
rnacentral:rRNA from 1 species